GACUCCAGGCUCUGCUGGUUUUACUUCUAAUGCUUCCAUUGGAGGACAACAAUGGUUACAUUGACUUAAGAUCUGAUGCAAAUGUUUACCUUUUGGGGUCUGUCAUACCAUGAAGCAAACAGACAGAAAAGAAGGAAACAGAUGGCACACUGAAAAUUAGGAUAAGUUAAGAAGAAUGUAAUAAGUGGACAACCGACAAAGGAGGGUGGGAAUGCAGGGCAACCACAAGGGCUCAUACAGUGCUGGGUGAGGAGGACCCCUGACGGGAGCUGAGAUCUUUGGUGAAGGACACAACUGGUCAGUACAACCCUGCAGGGCAAGGAGCUGCAGAAACAACUAUCCAAACCCUACACCUCUCCCUCACCUUGAUCUCCCAUGUUCCACUUUGGCUGAACCAAACCAAAAGCCAGAGGGCAAGGAAGCCAUGUGUGAAAACUGUGCUACAGAGCAGAAUGGAGAGUGAUACGACUCAGGGAGAAGAUAUCCAGCACUAAAGUAUUAAUGCCUUUUAUUAUAAAUUGUUUGGAAGUAGAUGAUGUCUAUAUGCAUAAAUAAAUAACACUAAUCUCUUUUA